rnacentral:rRNA from 1 species
GAUUAACGCUAGCGGCAGGCCUAAUACAUGCAAGUCGAACGGGAUUAUUGGUAGCAAUACUGAUAUGAGAGUGGCGCACGGGUGCGUAACGCGUAUGCAACCUACCUCUGACUGGGGGAUAGCCUUCCGAAAGGAGAUUAAUACCGCAUAAUACAAUGAAGUGGCAUCACUUUAUUGUCAAAACUCCGGUGGUUAGAGAUGGGCAUGCGUAAUAUUAGCAGUUGGUGAGGUAAUGGCUCACCAAGGCUACGAUAUUUAGGGGGUCUGAGAGGAUGAUCCCCCACACUGGUACUGAGACACGGACCAGACUCCUACGGGAGGCAGCAGUAAGGAAUAUUGGACAAUGGUGGAAACACUGAUCCAGCCAUGCCGCGUGCAAGGAUGAAUGCCCUGUGGGUUAGUAAACUGCUUUUAAUAACGGGAAAAAACCCCCACUACGUGUAGUGGGCUGAUGGU